rnacentral:rRNA from 1 species
UACGUAGGGCGCAAGCGUUGUCCGGAAUUAUUGGGCGUAAAGAGCUCGUAGGCGGUUUGUCGCGUCUGCUGUGAAAACCCGAGGCUCAACCUCGGGCCUGCAGUGGGUACGGGCAGACUAGAGUGUGGUAGGGGAGACUGGAAUUCCUGGUGUAGCGGUGGAAUGCGCAGAUAUCAGGGAGGAACACCCAAUGGCGAAGGCAGGUCUCUGGGCCACAACUGACGCUGGAGGGAGCGAAGGCGUGGGGAGCGAACAGG